UACGUAGGGUGCAAGCGUUGUCCGGAAUUAUUGGGCGUAAAGAGCUCGUAGGCGGUCUGUCGCGUCGGCUGUGAAAACUCGGGGCUCAACCCCGAGCCUGCAGUCGAUACGGGCAGACUAGAGUGCGGUAGGGGAGACUGGAAUUCCUGGUGUAGCGGUGAAAUGCGCAGAUAUCUGGAGGAACACCGGUGGCGAAGGCGGCGAUUCUGGACCGAAACUGACGCUGAGGCGCGAAAGCCAGGGGAGCAAAGCGGG
rnacentral:rRNA from 1 species